ACUCAUAAUACUCUACUGAAUGUGCCAUCGAAAUGAUACAGGAAUCAUCUUAAAUAUUGUCUGUUUCUAUUGGACUUGCUAGUUCACCAACUCCAGAGACCAAUCUCUCAUUCCAUCUUCUAGAGAACCUUGAAAAACUGAUUGGUGGUUUCAUGUGUUCCAAAUUACAGUUUUCUAAAUUGAAAUGACUGACUUUAUGGGAACUCAUAUGUCAUUUCAAGAAAAAGGACAGGACUAUGCAGUCAACACGAUUCCUUGUUUGCUAACCGUUGGCUGCCACCAUUGAAUCUCCCUUUUAACUUCUUUAAACGGGCCCUCUUGAUUUGAGGGUAAUCAUACGCUACUUAUCGUGGACUUCAACCAUUGCUGGAAACCAACCUUGAGAGCAUGCUGUCAUUCAAGACUGAUAAAUUGUGUAGUUAUUUACAAGUGCAUAUCUGGGCUCCCUUCUUUUCUGUGGCCCCGUUUCCCUAACUAACCACUAACCAACGCCCGCCGGUGGUCACUCA